rnacentral:rRNA from 1 species
UAGGGGAGCCGGAGGGAAACCGAGUCUUAAUUGGGCGUUAAGUUGCAGGGUAUAGACCCGAAACCCGGUGAUCUAGCCAUGGGCAGGUUGAAGGUUGGGUAACACUAACUGGAGGACCGAACCGACUAAUGUUGAAAAAUUAGCGGAUGACCUGUGGCUGGGGGUGAAAGGCCAAUCAAACCGGGAGAUAGCUGGUUCUCCCCGAAAGCUAUUUAGGUAGCGCCUCGUGAAUUCAUCUCCGGGGGUAGAGCACUGUUUCGGCUAGGGGGCCAUCCCGGCUUACCAACCCGAUGCAAACUGCGAAUACCGGAGAAUGUUAUCACGGGAGACACACGGCGGGUGCUAACGUCCGUCGUGAAGAGGGAAACAACCCAGACCGCCAGCUAAGGUCCCAAAGUCAUGGUUAAGUGGGAAACGAUGUGGGAAGGCCCAGACAGCCAGGAUGUUGGCUUAGAAGCAGCCAUCAUUUAAAGAAAGCGUAAUAGCUCACUGGUCGAGUCGGCCUGCGCGGAAGAUGUAACGGGGCUAAACCAUGCACCGAAGCUGCGGCAGCGAACGUAUCACCCAAGACAACUUUACGGAGUUGACGAUUGACGGAGCGAAGCGACGUCAAAGCGUUCAUUAAAGUCGAGUUGGCUUAGGGAUACGUUCGUUGGGUAGGGGAGCGUUCUGUAAGCCUGUGAAGGUGUGUCGUGAGGCAUGCUGGAGGUAUCAGAAGUGCGAAUGCUGACAUAAGUAACGAUAAAGCGGGUGAAAAGCCCGCUCGCCGGAAGACCAAGGGUUCCUGUCCAACGUUAAUCGGGGCAGGGUGAGUCGACCCCUAAGGCGAGGCCGAAAGGCGUAGUCGAUGGGAAACGGGUUAAUAUUCCCGUACUUGGUGUUACUGCGAAGGGGGGACGGAGAAGGCUAUGUUGGCCGGGCGACGGUUGUCCCGGUUUAAGCGUGUAGGUGUGUGUUCCAGGUAAAUCCGGUUCACUUUAACACUGAGGCGUGACGACGAGGCACUACGGUGCUGAAGCAACAAAUGCCCUGCUUCCAGGAAAAGCCUCUAAGCAUCAGGUAACACGAAAUCGUACCCCAAACCGACACAGGUGGUCAGGUAGAGAAUACCAAGGCGCUUGAGAGAACUCGGGUGAAGGAACUAGGCAAAAUGGUGCCGUAACUUCGGGAGAAGGCACGCUGACACGUAGGUGAAGUGAUUUACUCAUGGAGCUGAAGUCAGUCGAAGAUACCAGCUGGCUGCAACUGUUUAUUAAAAACACAGCACUGUGCAAACACGAAAGUGGACGUAUACGGUGUGACGCCUGCCCGGUGCCGGAA